CUAAAUAAAACAGCAACCUUCACUUGAUUGAUUCUAGGAGCGUUGCUGAUAUAUCCUGUUAUAGUUGUGUGAAUCACAUAUUAAUUAACAAUUUGAGUAAUUAAAAUGCUUUUAUUCUUUAAAGAUGUUAGAGAUGGAGCCAAAUAUCUAACAUAUAUGUGCAAAACUGAUGGUAUCCUGCAUGGUAGUGCAGAAUAAUGCAAUGCAGGCCUCACUGCAUUUCUUUAUACUACUAUAUACCAUAUACUUCUAUAUACUUUGAAGUGAGUAUUUUAGCUUGCUCACUGUGUGAUAUGUACAGCCUGAGCUGAUCAAAGAGAGAAACCUGGUUUUUUAUCUGGGUAUCUUUGACGCAAUCCUUACUGCUAAAGGGUAAAUCAAGCCUCUGUUUACUGGAAAUCCUCUAGCAUUUCCAGCUUCUGUUGGAACUCGGUGCUUUUAUGAGCUCCAAAAAGCAAUUAUCUGUGUACAGAAACAUACCUGUACAGCAUCGGUUUCUCGUCCUCUGAGAAAUUAGUUGCUAACUGCACUUUGGCAAGUCACAUGUUUACUUUUUCACACACAUCACGGCCAAAAUCUCACCUCACUCAUGCCGGUGACACCAGACCACCUCUCGUGGCACGACAGCUACUGAAAGCAUCAUUUUGUGUUUAUAAAGGUACAGAAUGAGUGCUUCAGUUUGUGCCUUGCUGGCCAACCCCAGGUCCUUCAGAGCUCCCUUCCCACUCCUCAGGGCCCCAGAGGCAGCUUGAAGCCUCCGCCUCCUAGGCCCCGCCUGGGCACGCAACUCUGAGACUUCUGCUGCCUCCACAGUUGGGAUGCUUUUAACUUACACACACGCUACUCACUUGUUUGCCUUGCAUUUCUUUUUCAUUUGUCUUCUGGUCAGCUUUAUUUUCACUCCCUUUCCGAGAGCGGCCCUGCUGCAGGUGCAAAUAUUAAAUCAUUGCACAAGCACGUGUGAGACAACUUCCAUCGUUUCUCAACGGAAUGAAAAUGGUUCAACUGCAAAACAGAGAUCUCCACCACAGUCAAGUUGUCUGCGUGGGCAGGUCAACAGAGUAAACUCCUUUCUCUGCACAUCUUCACCCACCAUCAGAUGAGCACAGAUACUGAAGGGCUGAGCACAGCUGGGAACAAAGCAGGCCUGUGUUGGUGCAGGGGAACAAAUUCUUCCACUGUAGGACAUGGCUCGCAGGAGACAGUUUGUGAGACACAGCUAGAGCUAGUCUCUAGCAAGUAACUGUUGAAGCAACAAUUGCAUUUUUUCCUUCCACAGACUAAUCAUCAGCUAAGAGCAUGUAUAAAGCAGGAGGAGCGUCAUAUAUCACGUUCUGCUUUAACAAAAAAUCUGGACUUCAGGCUCCUGGAGCUAAGGAGACAUUCCUUAACUUCCACCAGAUGUAGAACACAUAUUUUCCUUUCAGGGCAGUUGCUGGAAUAAACGUCUGACACAAACCA
rnacentral:lncRNA from 1 species